rnacentral:rRNA from 1 species
UACGUAGGGGGCUAGCGUUGUCCGGAAUCAUUGGGCGUAAAGAGCGUGUAGGCGGCCCGGUAAGUCCGCUGUGAAAGUCGGGGGCUCAACCCUCGAAUGCCGGUGGAUACUGUCGGGCUAGAGUGCGGAAGAGGCGAGUGGAAUUCCUGGUGUAGCGGUGAAAUGCGCAGAUAUCAGGAGGAACACCGGUGGCGAAGGCGGAUCUCUGGGCCUGUCCUGACGCUCAGGCGCGAAAGCUAGGGGAGCAAACAGG